AUGGAAACUCAGAGGUUUUUGUUUCUCAUCUGUCUAAUGAUGAGUGGAGGAGACACUGAAAGAACACCUGAAAUCUGCACAGGAGCGCACUGCCAAAGGUCUCCAUCCAGAUCACCUGAUUACCAGAGCAGAUAUUCAAUUUAUGCUCCAAGACGCCCAUCGGUUCCCUUCACGGUAAUACAUCCACAGCACAGUAGGGCUGGCAGUCCGAAAGUAAACCCAAGGACCAUCACGGCUGAGGUGUUCAACCCACAGGGAUGCACGGGAGGAGGUUGUCAUGGCUCGCCAAGACUGACAAAUAAUGAUACGAAAGAGUGCAAGGGAAUCGGAUGUACACUACCUGUAAGGAUGCGACAAGAUUCCAAACAGCAUUCCACAGGGACAGAGGUUGGGAGAAGCAGAGUUACGUUUGUCCAUAUGCAGGACAGAGCCGAGCAAGUAUUAGGAGAAUUUCCGGAGUUGGGAACCCGAGGAGGGCCAUCAGCUGGAAUUCAGUUAACAUGCGACAUCAAACCAGGCACAAAUGAGGUCCCUUCUGAAGAUGCAUUAGUGUUGCAUUUGCACUUGGCAACAGGUCAGGAUAAACUGGUGGCCCAGUUGCAAGGGCAGCAAGCUGAAGUUAAGCAACUUCAGAACACGCUGAGAGAACAGCAACACACUCUACUAGCCCACCAAAGAGAAAUACUGGACCAGCAACGGAUUAUGUUUGAAAAGAUGGAAGAAGUCAAGACCCAGUAUAACCUUCUUCUUGACGGUGUCAGACAGUUAUCUGUGCAAGGCCCACAGGGCGUCAUUGAGAGCCAUUUGGAUGGUCUCCAGUCCCAGGUUAGGACCUUUUCUCAGGAGGCCUUUGCAAUGCAUAAGAUGAACAUGGAUGCUAGUGUUAAAGACGCUGAGAGACCUCUUCCUGGCUGUGGAUCCUGCCGAGCAGAUGAGUACUGUGACUUCAGUGCAGACCGGCCACGUUGUGAGAAAUGCACCGUUUGCCCUCCGGGAUUCUUUCUGGUGGCUCAAUGUUCCAUUCACGCUGACAGGAUUUGCCAGGACAGAGACGAAUGCCUGGAGAUCCCAAACUUAUGUAAAGAGCGCAACCAGUGCCUGAAUACACCAGGGGGAUUUCGCUGCUCCGGCCUGUCGGAGAGGGAAGCAGCCGCUGGGAUGUGUGGGCACUCUUAUUUUUACAGUUCUGAGAUGGAGGAGUGUCAAGCCUGUACAGAAUGUGAUUCUCAGCCAAUGACAUCCCCAUGUUCAGCCUUGAAUGAUGCCGUGUGUGCCAACCCCUCUGAAAGCAGACUCUCGCUGUCUUGGUCUGGUAACGUUGACCUAGCCAAGGGUAGUGCGUUUCCUGAAAAGCAACUUCACAUCCGUGGUAACAGCGACGGAAGUCUUCUUUCCUGCACUGAUGGUUGGAUAGUGCUGCACCAGCAUGGGCUUGUUUGGGUUGACCAUAACCUUGCUUUAAAACACGGCUGCCGCAGCUUCAUUCAAGCGUGUUUACGACUGAACGCCAGUGAAGAUGAAGGCCGGGAUCUGAGUGGGAUGCGUUUGGAGCAGCAGGAGGGUAAAUCUCUCCAGAGCGCCAGUGUGAGUGCAGCAACUUCUGUGGAGCCAGGUCAUGUACUCUACCUUACUCUGAAGAGCGCCACCAACCAGUGUAGCCAAGACAGUGAAGACGUGCACCUUCAGAGCAGCCUAAUCUCACCUUUCAGCUUGCUCUGGUUGUCCCAUGACACCGGUGCGGUUGCAAUGACUGCUCAGGCCGUUGCUUCGGCGCAUUACCACACCAACUACCGUCCUGCCUUCCGUACAUCAUCAAUCUCUGACCCCUACAUGGUCGGCUUGACACAUGAUAACCGAGGGGUGCGCUUCAGAGAAAGUGGGACUGUGAAGUUUGUCCUCCAGCAAGCAUUGUACUCCAUGGGUCAAGCCUGUAUCUCUGAGGGCUUCUACUUGCUUGCAUACGUGAACCACAACGGAAGCAGUGCUGAGCUGACCCGUGCAUUUAAACCUGGUGUUCACUACAGAGACACAUCUAUUUCUCUCUCAGCAGCCACCACUGUGGACUCUGGGGAUAUGCUCACCUUUGAGAUCCUUGCUCCCGCACAGUGCAAUGUGCGCUACUUCGGAGAUGACUCUGGGAUUAGCAUGCUCAGUCUGGUGUGGAUCCCUUCAACCAUGUCCACUGCCUUGUCGGCCUCUGUGUCCAGGAAAGGUCUCCCCUCUGGUGCAGUGCGAAAUAAACCCUUGCUCUUCCAUCAGACAAGUCCAGCGGUUCCACAAGUUGCACUAGCUGGAAGCAAAGAUCACAGAGACUUCAUCUUUCGGGAAGCAGGGACAGCGAGUGUGGCUUUAGAUCUGCGGCUUAUCCACUCAUGCAGUCUAAUCAAACUCACCUUGCUCCAACAGAGCGGGUCUCAGGGGGUUCAGCCAGCUCCUGUAGCUCAACAGAUUGGUGGACACAUGCCAGAGGGAAGCAUAUGGGCAAGUGUGGGGCUGAGGGUAUCGUUCCAGGUGCGUAAUGGCACUGUGAUCUUCGCUACAGUGGACUGCGUCAGAGGGCGCAUCAACCAAAUUGCCUAUGAUGCUGGAAGUAGUAUGUCUAUCCUCUGGACAGUUGCAUAAUCAUGGCAUGAAUCUGGUAGCAUGAAAUAAAAAAUAAAAAUAACAGCAUAUGCUGGUUAGGUAUGUUUAGAUGCAUGGAAGCUGGUCCUGAACUGGUUAUAAGCUGAUUAUGAGCAGGAGCUAGUUGCUCAGUACCAGCUCAAACCGGCUGCAUGCAUCAAAACAUAACAUCAACCUAACCAGCAUAUGCUGGAAAGCUACUUUUAGAUUAUGUUUUUUAUUUAGAUGCAAUUGAUUUGGUUUCUUUUGAAAAAGAUUUGUGCUGUCCAAGCAAUUAGUUGAAUUGUUUCAGAGUAAAUUUCUGAUUUAAGUAGCAUUGUGUCAUCAAGUAUGUUAUUUGAUUUUAUUUUGCUGCAAUUUUUUUUUAUUAUGAAAUAAACAUUUAUUCUUUUUUGCUUACAAAUCUUUGUGAUGUAGGUGUUUGUAUGGUCUAAUAUUGUUAGAAUAAUUGCAUCUACCAGUUCUUGUUUUCCUUUCAUUAUAUUUGCACUUCAGUAAACUUCAUGAAUUAUUUGCCUUGUCUUCCUCACAAGUGAUCGUAUGUCUUACAGCAUGUUUUGUAUCUUGCCUGUAUCUUUGAAUAAAAAAUUCAGUGUUAGCCACAUGUUGCUGUUUUUAAUUCAGUUUCCAAUAGCAGUUUAUAAUUAGUCACAAAACGUUGAUUUACUGUUAUAAGCAUUUAUUAAAUCUUUGCAGGAUUUAGUUAGUCAAAUGUCCAUCCAGAUCCUUGCACAACAAAAGCAGAAAAAGGUUUUAAACAUUUCCCAGGAAUCAAAUGCAGGUGUUUGCGGCACAAACAACCAGAUGGCUUUGAUUGUGCUCUUUAACAUGCAGGGUUUAUAUAAAACAGAAUAAAAGUAGCCCUCUGGCCUCCUUUAUGUAUGUGUUGUUAUUCUUAAAACAGAAAUUAUGAUAUUUCAUUUAUUACAGGUAACAGUAACACCAAAUCAAAUGCAUCCUUAAUGUUUCUAUAAAAAGACCACAGCUGAAACCAUAUCCUGAAGCUAAACUAAAACUGAAAAUAGGUUUAGAAACUUAAGAAGCAUGUACAAAGACUCGCGGUUUUCCCAGACAUUUGGUUAAUAUUAAAAGCUUUACUGGGAGCAGGAGAUGACGUUUAUUUAAAG
ensembl:lncRNA